rnacentral:rRNA from 1 species
CUCAGAAUAACUAAGCUGAUGCGCAUGGUCUUGCACCGGCGACGUGUCUUUCAAGUAUCUGCCUUAUCAACUUUCGAUGGUAGUGUAUCUGACUACCAUGGUGGUGACGGGUAACGGAGGAUAAGGGUUUGACUCCGGAGAAGGGGCCUGAGAAAUGGCCACUACGUCUAAGGAUGGCAGCAGGCGCGCAAAUUACCCACUCUCAGAACGAGGAGGUAGUGACGAAAAAUAACGAGACCGUUCUCUACGAGGCCGGUCAUCGGAAUGGGUACAAUCUAAACCCUUUAACGAGUAUCUAUGAGAGGGCAAGUCUGGUGCCAGCAGCCGCGGUAAUUCCAGCUCUCAAAAUGCAUAGAAUUAUUGCUGCGGUUAAAAAGCUCGUAGUUGGAUCUGUGCUGAGGACCUGGUCCACCUUCGGGUGCGUACUAGGCUCCACGGCUUUUCUGCCGGUUUUCCCGUCAUGGCUUUCAUCGGCUGUGGCGGGUGGCUGGUGAUUUUAGAGAGGUGAAAUUCUUGGACCGCAGCGAGACGAACUACAGCGAAAGCAUUUGCCAAGAAGGUCUUCAUUAAUCAAGAACGAAAGUCAGAGGUUNGAAGGCGAUCAGAUACCGCCCUAGUUCUGACCGUAAACGAUGCCAACUUGCGAUCUGCCGGCGGAAUUUUCGCCCUGGUAGGGAGCUUCCCGGAAACGAAAGUCUUCCGGUUCCGGGGGAAGUAUGGUUGCAAAGCUGAAACUUAAAGGAAUUGACGGAAGGGCACCACCAGGAGUGGAGCCUGCGGCUUAAUUUGACUCAACACGGGGAAACUCACCCGGCCCGGACACCAUAAGGAUUGACAGAUUGAUAGCUUUUUCAUGAUUUGGUGGAUGGUGGUGCAUGGCCGUUCUUAUUUCGUGGAGCGAUUUGUCUGGUUUAUUCCGAUAACAAGCGAGACUCUACCCUACUAAAUAGUCUGCACAUUGCUUCUGUGAUGCAGUACUUCUUAGAGGGAUUUUCGGUGUACAGCCGCACAAGAUUGAGCAAUAACAGGUCUGUGAUGCCCUUACAUGUCCGGGGCUGCACGCGCGCUACACUGGCGAAAUCAGCGUGCUUGUCCUUGCUCGAAAGAGCUUGGUAAACCAAUGAAAAUUUGCCGUGAUUGGGAUCGGAAAUUGCAAUUAUUUUCCGUGAACGAGGAAUUCCAAGUAAAUGCGAGUCAUCAACUCGCGUUGAUUACGUCCC